GCUGGGAUGAGACUAAAGCCCGCUGAAUUGAUCCUUCAGAAGGGUAAUUUCACGAUGCAUGACUUAAAUGUCAGCAUGCUCUUGUUAUAAACAGGGGCUUGGGCAGUGCGGUAGGAAUGGAGGAGUGAAGUCAAGAGCCUCGGGGAGGGAGUCUCCCUGGCCUGGGUGCAGAGUCCCCGGAGCCGCAGCUCUUAGGAGAUGGAGCUGGCUGCUCCAGGUCCCGGGUUUGCACUGACCGAGAUUGAAGGUUCCCGCGGAGUAGGCCAAUACCCUUUACCUAAACUCUACCAUUGGAGUCACCUGUGGAUGCGGGGAUGGCUGAAGCAGUGCACUGGACUUUUCUGUAGCCCAAAGUACUUUUCAUGCUGCCUGUCUGCUUUGGCCCUGUACCAGUGACGGUCCUGUGCUUCGAGCUGGAGGACACGUCCUCAGCUGCAGAGAGCGCCGUCUUCCUGACCUGGUGUGACCCACGGAGGCUGCCCGUCUUCCGGGAGGGGACGCCCAGAGGGCCUGUAGAUGUGGCAGAGCCGGCCACACAGCUCACUGGGUUCUGAGAUAGCUUGGGCGGAAGGAGGGAGCCCUGGUUUAUGGUGAGCAACUCCGGGCAGCCUUGGGGAACCCGUGUGGUGAGCGCAGACCUGUGGAGUCCUGUGGGCUCAUGUGUACCUGGGGACAGCCGCCUUCUGCAGGCCGCACCGAGGACCAAAGCUGACCGUGGACGGAGCAUGGAGGCAUGGCCCGUUUCCCUAUCUCCUUGGGCUGCCAGCGCAGGUGAGUACUCCUCAGCUCUUGACACGCGGCGGUGACUGUCAUACUGCUCUCUGCGUGGGGCCUCAGUGCCACGUAAGUCUCACUCCUCUUCAUCAGCACUUGGGACGUCCCCUGUCCUAUUUUUAGGUGUGAGGAGCUAAUUUAGUCGUAAAAGAUGUCUCAUUAUUUGGGAUUGUUAUUUAAUAACUACUGAUGUUGAGCUUUUUGUUGUAUGUUUACUAGCAAUGCUUCCUCC
rnacentral:lncRNA from 1 species